UUUAAAUUGGUAGCCAAGUUGACACGACUGAGUCAAACGCUCAUUCUACAACAUCUUUUAGAAAAAACUAAUACUUUAGUCUAUGAUGAGCGUUUUUACGAGCGUCAAACUAACGUCAAAGUCACAACGUCGUAAUACAUAAAAUUACAAAUUGUUAUUAGAACUAUUGAAAGCCAUUAAUCCUGAAGAAGAAAUUGUUAUUAACUUAUUGUUUUAUGCGUAACCGAAAUAAGAAAUAUUGUACUGCCAUGUAUAUAAUAUUAUAUGUGGAUAACGGCGCUGAUAAACCUUUAUUAUGCAAUUGUUUGUUGUCCUAAAUAAAAUAAAAUAAAAUCUUAAAAAUUAAGUGGUUUAUAUGAUGGAAUAUAGAUCUUGAGCAAGCCCAGAACAGUUCGCAGCUUUACUGGAAUUCAUGGAAAGGGAAAAAAAUUCCACGAAGAGAAAAGGAAAGGUUGUGAUUAGAAUUGCGAAAGAUAGCAAUGGAAGAAAGCCGAAAUGUAAUUUUAAGUCGUUUAGUUGGUACUAGACAAUUUGAUGCAAAUUUUACCAUUUUUUACAAGUUGAGACCAUCAUCGCUACCUCCGACAAACACUAUUCCUUAAAAUGUCUAAUGUAGUGAUAGUGGUCUCAGCUGAGGGCUAUAUACAAUUUCAAAUUGCCUGCAAUAUCAGAGGAACAAUUAAUUUUUGUUUGUAUAUAACAAAACCUAUUUUAAUUUAUACUUAAAAUGUAAUAAUGAAACUAAUAUUUAUGUACAAUAACUGUAGCUAAUUGAUUUUUAUGUAAAGUAACAAAUAAUACCAUAAAAUGUAGGUUUUGAGUGAAUUGUAAAUAAAAAGUAUUAAUGACUGAAAAAUCCUUUCUUUUCAACUGUGCAUGCCACGAAUAUCAUCAGUGUUUUAAUAAAACAAUAAUAAACUUAUUUGUAAUAAUAA